CACGUAGGGUGCAAGCGUUGUCCGGAUUCAUUGGGCGUAAAGGGCUAGUAGGCGGCUUAGCAAGUCGGGUGUGAAAUUUCCAGGCUUAACCUGGAACCGCCAUCCGAUACUGCUAUGGCUAGAGUCCGGUAGGGGACCACGGAAUUCCUGGUGUAGCGGUGAAAUGCGCAGAUAUCAGGAGGAACACCCGUAGCGAAGGCGGCACUCUGGGCCGAUACUGACACUGAGGAGCGAAAGCGUGGGGAGCGAACAGG
rnacentral:rRNA from 1 species